GAUGAACGCUGGCGGUAUGCUUUACACAUGCAAGUCGUACGGGGGUUUUUAACUCAAGUGGCGGACGGGUGAGUAACACGUAGGAAUUUGCCUUUAGGAGGGGGACAACAACUGGAAACGGUUGCUAAUACCCCAUAUGCUUUCGAGUGAAAUGGAUUUAUCCGCCUAGAGAGAAGCUUGCGGCUGAUUAGCUUGUUGGUAAGGUAAUGGCUUACCAAGGCGACGAUCAGUAUCUGGUUUGAGAGGACGAUCAGACACACUGGAACUGAGACACGGUCCAGACUCCUACGGGAGGCAGCAGUGGGGAAUUUUCCGCAAUGGGCGAAAGCCUGACGGAGCAAUACCGCGUGAGGGAUGACGGCCUAUGGGUUGUAAACCUCUUUUUUCAGGGAGGAAUAAAUGACGUGUACCUGAAGAAUAAGCAUCGGCUAACUCCGUGCCAGCAGCCGCGGUAAGACGGAGGAUGCAAGUGUUAUCCGGAAUCACUGGGCGUAAAGCGUCUGUAGGUGGUUUAAUAAGUCAACUGUUAAAUCUUGAGGCUCAACCUCGAAACCGCAGUCGAAACUAUUAGACUAGAGUAUAGUAGGGGUAAAGGGAAUUUCCAGUGGAGCGGUGA
rnacentral:rRNA from 1 species